rnacentral:miRNA from 1 species
ACAGUGUUAGCUCAGUGACAGU